UCACCCCAUCCCACCCCAUCCAAAGGUAUGUAUUCUUGGGCUGCUACUGAACCUCUUAGCUUCUGUCUUCUCACCUAUAAAAGGCGAAUUGGCAAGGUCAUCCCCUUUGGCAGGUAAGUAAAUGCGGAGGACAUAGUCCACGUUAAAUAAAUGACAGCGACUGCUGUUUCACUGGUUGUCAUGCCCAUGAGCAAGUCAGUACCUGUUCUCCCCACCAAGGACAAGCUAACCCUGCUACCCAGGUCCUGCUCGUGUCCUGAGCUCCUCCUCAUACGUGCCACCAGACUUGGUUUUGUAUCCUACCUGGGCUUCAGGAGAGAGAAUUAAAAAAAUCAAAUUAGGUAAAAUUGGAGUUAAAUGAUAAUGAUAACUUCUCAGCUACUUCAACCUCAGUUUCUGCCCUUUUUGAACUUGCCAAGCAGUGGAGGUAUCUUAACAGGCCCGUUCUGUGACUGUUACCACUGUUCCCAUUUUAAUGCAGCUAUUUGUGUACUAGGUACCUCUCUCCCAUGAAGCUGUGAACUACUUAAAGCACAAUAAAGAAAGGAAAGAAGGAAGGAAGGAAGGAAGGAAGGAAGAAAGGAAGGAAGGAAACAAGGCAGGCAGGAAGGAAUAAUUAAUGAAUAAUACUGCAUUCAGGAAACUAGACCCAGUAUUUUCAAAGUGACUCAUACCCAGCCAUCCUCUCCUUUGCCAGUUAGCAUUGAUAAUCUCCAAUUGCUCAACCACUUGUUUCUUUUAAUUUUAACAAUCUUACAGCUGAAGCUAUCUAAGAUUUAUUCAGGAGAAUAUAUUUUGUAACACCUCCUUUUUCCUGUAAACAUUGAAGGAAGGUUCGUGAUAUGGACCCUUGGCUGAAAUUUGAAGGUGAAAAAGGACGGCUCCGUUCCUAUUUAUGGUGUGGGAGUGACUUUCCUUCACCACUAGCCUGGGUGAAGUUUAAUGACUGACCAAGAGGGAAGUAAUUCAUUCUUCCUGUCAUCCUAUUUUAUUCCCCUGCCCCUCACCUUGUGCUCUCUUUUCCUGCUCAGCUCCUAUUCUGAUCUUUCUUUGUCAAGGAUGUUUCUCAUGAUUAAGUGCUUAUAUCUUCUUCUCCCCAGCAUAUUUGUUUGGAUAGAUUUAGGACAGAUAAAAUUGCUGAAAAUUGCCUGGUUUCUGUUUUCUCUAGAGAGAAAACCCUGAAAGAUUUUUAGCUAAUGGCAUUAGACCAGUUUCGAUCACUGUAAGAUUCUCUGGCUUUAGUUCUAUAACCCUCCAGAAGUCUAGAUCUUUUUGAUAUUAAAGAAAACAUGCACACUUUGAGUGAGCUACUGAGUUCCAUCGAAUUGUUUCCAUUUUACAGAGACUAAGGACAGGGGACCACUGGGAAGGCACAUAAGGAAACAAAAGGGACUUUGACCCAGAGACUGGACCCUGAGUCUAUAUGAAAUAGGAGGUGAUGGUGUUACUAAGAAUUUCUUGCUUUGAGCUAGUUUCAUUCUGGGUGAAGUCUGUACUUGAAGUUCCUCUCCUAACCUAACGAUGGUUGCAGGUGGGGCCAAAGUUAAUGGAGAACCUGGACUAACAGCCUCACCACCUUGGAUCACUUUCAGUAACCACCAGGCCUACCUGGAAGUGCAACUCUGGGUCAUGUGGAAGUGAAAACUGCAGUGGGACUUUGAAUUUGCUGUGUCUUCUGCUGAGAACAUUCCCUCUGAAGAUUCAGAACCCUUUAUACUACUCCAACACCAAAUAUUUAAUCUGUCAAUCUAAUCUUGGAUAUUUGAAAUCUUCUCCAUACAUAUCAUGAGAUAUUCUUCACCAGAAUAAGCUUUUGUUUCACUACCAAGAGGUUUGGCCUCCUCUCCAGCCUGUGACUACUGGGAAGACAGGGCACCUGUCCUAUUCACCUUUGUAUCUCUGGUGUCUCACUCAGGAUCCGGCACAGUGCUUGCCAAGGACCUGCUAUGCGCCAGGGGCUGCUGGAGCUGGGAACCUAAUGAUCACAGUGUCAGCCUCUGCCAGCCUUUGUGUGUGUGGCAGGGGUUGUUUUGAGUCCCACCAUCUUCCAUCCCUGAUGCUUGGAGAAGCUGAGGACACACAGGCAGUGCCUGAUCCUCUACUGGGUGUUCAACACUGGCUGCAUUUAUGGAGACCACAGACAAAAGAUGGAAACAGCCUCCACCGGCAUGGGGAUCAGGCAUGGGGCAAACACAGGAGACAAAACAGGAGAAUCUCCCGAGAACACCCUCUGAUCAGCACUCUGCAUGCAAUUUCCAUCUCAGACUCUGUUUCUAGGAAGACUUUCAGGCAGCUGACACUGGACGUGGUUUCUGAAGUCACCUGCCCUAUCUGGACAUUCCAUAGACUACCACUUUUACCCACGACUUCGAUGUGGCAUGCUCAUUGGACCAGAUAAGCAAGCAGUGGCAAGUGGAUUGGAGGUCUUGGAAUAUGAAGGCCUGGCCCUCGUCUCAGCUUGGAAUAAAUCUGAAGGCCCAUCACAGCUUCAGAGAUGCUUGGAGAAGGCUGAGGUCUCCCCUGUAACCUUAUGAGAACCUUGAGUUGUUGAACUCAUUAAUUCUUUGGGACCAUCUUCCUGAUGUUCAAGUUUGUGAAACAGGCUUUCCCUUUAAGAUUUGUUUUCCUCAAAAUACAAGACUAUUGAUGCUUCAGUUUUGAAGUGGAUUCUGCACUCAAGAAAUGUACCAUUGAAGAAUGGGACUGGUAGGAAGGGAAAAAAACUAAAAGGAAACGCAUUUUCGAGUUGCACAUCAUGAUCAGGCACAGAGUCCAGAUACACUUGGAGUAGCAAGCAUCCAUCCUUGUGGAGACGCACAUGAACCAGGACUCUCUGCACCCACCCCUCUCAAGUUUUAUUUUCCGACGGCUGUAAUGUUCCAGGACACCUGCCAUCAUGGAGGGUUAUCCAGCACCUGGAGGAUACCUGCUACCUGAAUCAUUGAGGGUUUACUGAACGAGUGCUAUUGUAAACAGAGUCAGUGUCAACACCAGAAAGUGCUUCCUGAUCUGGCAGUUUAAUUGCUCUCCUGAUUUCCAUGCUUUUCACUCUUUAUGAAAUGUGACGUUUUCUCUACAUCUUGUACAAAUACAG
rnacentral:lncRNA from 10 species